AGAAAUUGAUCUAGGGUGAAAAUAUAUCAGUAGUCAAGUAAGUAGAAUUUUGAACAAAACAGAACAACAUUCAAAAUUUUGGCUUUGUUCUGUGACUUUUACAGCCUUUGGGAGAUUCUGUUGUGUGACGGACCCACUCUCUGCAGGGCCAAGCAUUUCUGACUCGGUCCCAUCAGUUCCGGUCCUGUCCAUGGUACCGAGAAGAUGAUCAGUCAUCAGUCCUGAAACAGUAUGUGACUAUAGACACAUGUAUGGCAUAAAUCAAGAAAUAGGUUAUUGGAGGCAGAAUUGGAUUUGAUUAGAGCCUUUUUUACAUUAUAAAAGGAAAACUCUUCCUGUUCAUAAUUACUUAGAACUGGCAAAAAUGCCACAUUCAGUAGCUUUGCGUGGUGGAGUUUCAAUUUUUCUCUCAAGCUUCUUUAAGGUACAAAAGACUCAAGACACUUUUUUGACUAAACGGCACAGCAGAAUUUCAAUUUCUUAAAGAUUUCCUAGAUUAGAAUCCUAUUGUAAAAAUGAGUUCUUUCUAGAAGAACUUUAGAAUUUAACUUUCAUCGGUAAAACAUCCUCUUCUUUUUUCAUAUUCAAGCCUUUGUGGAUACCAUGCAAUUAAUUUUCAAAUGAUCAUGAAGGCAGUUUAAUAGCUCAUUCGUAUUUUCUAAACUCUCUCCUGGUAGUGUCUCCAGAUGAAUGAAGUACAGUGCUCUCCAUAGCACCUAAGGAAGGAGUGUUGCUUAAUAUUAUUCAAAGUGCUCUGAAAUGAGAGCAUUUACAAUCAUGAAAUAAUGUCUAUUUCAACAUCUUUUAUUUUAAAAAUUCUUUAUUGACC
rnacentral:lncRNA from 1 species